AGAAAGCAAACGAGAGAAAAAAGAGUGUUUUCCAGGGACCUGAUAUUAAGCGUUAUGGAACCAUGGCAGCUGGUUGGAGUUGAGAUACAGGUUAUUCAAAGUUGAAGACCCUUUACUUACGAAGUUGUUCCUACAAGCUCCCCUUGAAGCUAGGAUGGCUUUCUUACAUUGAAGCAAGCAGAACUCUGUGCCCCAACUGCAGAUUUUCAACAUGAAUCCAAAACUCAUUGGGGUGUAUAACCUGAUCAAUAUUCACUUUAUUAUUGUAAUCUCACUAUGAAUGGUGAAUAAAUUAAUCCUCCAAUAUAUCUCUUUCAACGUUCCCCUGGGCCAGUUGUCUUGUUUCUGUAAUAUCUGCAUCUUUUAUUUCUAUUUGAAAUACAUAACGCC